UGCAGAGUAUCAUUGCAGCGCUUUUCCAGGGAGUAACGUGCUGCACUGGUUCAGGGCUUUGUCUUUAUUCACAACACAUUCAUGUGCCUCAGCAUGGGGGCAGCUGCACUGUUGCCUGCCAGCCUGUCCUCUUUGACUGCCGAAUGAACCAAAGGAUAACUCUCCAUUCGUGAGAGAGAGUGAGCUACAGAGGAAGAAAGACCACGCAAAAGGGAGGGGGAGAGAGGGGGGCGAAGAGGAUGUUCUCCGGCUCACUCCUACAUUAGGUCUCUGUGCAAAGGCAGAGGCUGUGGGAGCAGCAUCAAGCAAGACUUCGGGCAGUGAUUCUAACUAUUGCCUAUGAACACCGUGGCUGGGACGACUUUGACGAGGCAAUUUAUUACUUACGCAUAGAACACUGGCUGUGCUGAAACUGGGAGCGCAAACAGCCCCUUGUUUUCUAAUUUAGAGACUUGCAUCUUUUCGACACUCAACAGUAUCAAGACACUCUGCUACUACAGGAUUGAUUUCCACCAUCAACACCUUUACCUCUUCCCGCCUGAAAAUAAAAUAUGAAAUAUAACAAGUAAAUCGCAAUCUACCUUGGUUCCAAACACGUCAUGGCCAGAGUCCAGAUCUCCAUCAGGGCUGAUCGCUAUUCACCUAUCAAGUCUUGGUUUCAAACACGCUCGUGAAGCCUUCGUCCUCUCUCAGUACCUGGCACAUACCGGUAUUAUGGUCAUUUCAGCCCGUUGUGUUGUCAUCUUUUUCUGCUUUUCUUUUGUCUACCCACUAGGAGCAGAGCCUGAUGAGGACAGAAUGAGGCUUCAGAUCAUUUUAAUCAAUUAUUCUUUAUUAAGGCAAUUUAAUAGGAGAAAAGACUAAAUGUUAUUUCUUGUGCUUCACAGAUGUAUUCCAGAUGAAUAUACAUUUAAAAAUAUACAAAGAAUAAACACAGACAAGUAGAAUACCUUUGAUUACACAGCUACAAAAAUCUGACCACCUUGAAAUACUGUGUCAGGGUUAGCAAACUUCCUCUGUAAGGCCAAAUAGUAAAAGUUUCAGGCUCUGUGAACUAUAUGAUCUCUGCCACAACUAUUGAACUCUGUCAUCAUAGCAUAAAAGUAGCCAGAGACAACACAUACACAAAUGAGCAUAGCUAUGACCCAAUGAAACAUUAUUUACUAAAACAGGUAGUGGGCCAGAUUUGCCAAUUAUUGUACUAUAAUGGAUACACUUUCUCUCACAAGAGAAUUCUACCAUAGGCAUUUGAAUACAGUACAUGAAAUUCAAAACCUCAGUUGUGAAUUCGCUAUUUACCAAUGACAAGGUUUAAGUUCUUCAGUGGCCAUGAGCAUUAUCAAUUAAUGCAAAGAUCCUGGGCUUUCAAUCCAAAGAAGCUUACCUCUCUGCUCCAGAUGCUCAUCUUGCUGGCUGUGUGUCUCCAGGAGGAGGCAGUCAAAAGGAAAAACACAAAUAUCUCCAAGAUGGCACUUACAAAAAGCAACAACAAUGACAAAGUAUAAAUACAAACACACACCUUGAAGUUUAUGUUCUUACUCAAAUGCAAGCAUCAACAAUGGCCUACUGUCAGCAAGUUAAAUGGCUGGGGCUGUUUCAGUCUCCCAUUACAUGAAGGACAGAAUCUUCUGGAGAGGAAAGAAGAAACCAUGUCUAGACAAGGUGCUGGAAAGACCCAGGGAAGACACAGGUGAGCUAAGAAAGCAGUAGAAACUGGGUAAUUAAAAGUCAACAUAAUGGCUGGAAACUUGUUCAAGGAGAUAUAAAAAGAAAGAAAAACCAAAAGAGAGACUGUAUGGAUGAACUUUGUCUAUUUACAAUUUUGUCUAAGGCCAAAUCUGCAGUCUGGUCCCACCGCAUGUUAUCUAAGUUGUUCAUAUACCAAUACUAAGAGCUACUGAAAUUCUUCCAAAAAAUCAAAAUCAUUUCCCCUUUGAUUUGCUAGUUUUCCCUCUUGGUAAAUAAAGAUUCAUUUUUUAGUAAUAACUGACCUGCCCUAAGGGUUCACCACUUUCUUCUGAUCUCAAAUCUUGUGCUAGGUCUUUAGGUUACAAUUCAUGAAACUAAAAAAUAAACAAAAAAAUUCUCUUACCUUUGGUAUCAGGAUGAUGCUGGCCUCACAAAAUGAGUUAGGGAGGAUUCCCUCUUUUUCUAUUGAUUGGAAUAGUUUCAGAAGGAAUGGUACCAGCUCCUCCUUGUACCUCUGGUAGAAUUCGGCUGUGAAUCCAUCUGGUCCUGGACUUUUUUUGGUUGGUAAGCUAUUAAUUAUUGCCUCAAUUUCGGAGCCUGUUAUUGGUCUAUUCAGAGAUUCAACUUCUUCCUGGUUUGGCCUUGGGAGGGUGUAUGUGUCGAGGAAUUUAUCCAUUUCUUCUAGAUUUUCUAGUUUAUUUGCGUAGAGGUGUUUAUAGUUGGGAUCAUCCAGUUGCUGGAAAACAAACUCAGGUCUCCCACUGGUUCUACAUUAUGGUUUGUUCCUUUCUCCACCAUGCCUCACUAUGUGUCACCAAACUUAAUUCAGCAUCAGUGCUCCAAAUACUCCAUCCUACAAUUAGAGAAACCACUGAAUUCCGAUAUCCUCCACCCAAAUGGUAAUGAAGAUUGGAGAAAGUGACGCCCAUGCAUAGCGGAGAAGUGGAUUGCAGAUAUAACAAGGAGCACAGUAAACUGAGAUGUAAAACACCUUAUUCAACAACGAGGAUGCUGACUCAAAAGCAAAAGUUGAAGCACAUUAUGAAUGAAUGUCAAAAGGGAAAAAUCUAAAGCUAACAUAAAAGAGUGCAACUACAUCAAAUUGGAUAAGGAAUAGUAUUUUAUAGCCAAUUAAUGAAUAUUUAAAGGACAUCAACCUCAUCUCUUUGAAACACAUAUGAACAUAGUUGAGCUAGAGGGUGACAUGAUGUAUAUAUUUAAUCCAGAGGCAUUUUUGUUAAAAUUUUUCAACAGUUUUAAUCACAUGUAUUUAGUGAUUCAUAUAAUUGCUAAAUUAUAAUCUAACCAAAUAGCCAGAAGUAACUUUUAUAUCAUUUGUUACAUAAUCAUAAUUGGCCAGAUUAUUGCAAACUCACAAGUUUAUGAAUGAUUACUGUAAAAGAAUUUGAAUUGGUCAAUUAUAAAGAACAAUGCAUCCCUUAAUUAAUAUUUAUUUUAAUAAAAUUCAUCACUCCAGAAAGCUUUGGUAUCAGGAUGAAGCCAGCCUCAUAAAAUCAGUUAGGGAGGAUUCCCUCCUUUUCCAUUGAUUGGAACAGUUUCAGAAGGAAUGGUACCAGCUCCUCUUUGUACCUCUGGUAGAAUUCGGCUGUGAAUCUGUCUGGUCCUGGCCUUUUUUUGGUUGGCGGAGUCUCACUCUGUCACCCAGGCUGGAGUGCAAUGGCACGGUCUCGGCUCCCUGCAACCUUCACCUCCCAGGUUCACUCUUGUUGCCCAGACUGGAGUGCAAUGGCGCGAUCUCGGCUCACUACAACCUCUGCCCCCCGGGUUCAAGCGAUUUUCUUCCCUCAGCCUCCCGAGUAGCUGGGAUUACAAGUGCCCACCACCACACCCAGCUAAUUUUUUGUAUUUUUAGUAGAGACAGGGUUUCACCAUAUGUGUGCCUUUAUUAGCGGAGCCACUACUUGAGGGAGAUGAAGCGGGAGGAGUGGGUGGACCCAAUGCCAGGCCGGCCGUGCUUCACGGGCUUGUAGGUGAUGGAGAACUCGCCCAGGUCGUGGCCGAUCAUCUCCAGCUUGAUCUCCACCUGGUUGAAGGUCUUGCCGUUGUAGACGCCCACCCUGCUGCCCACCAUCUUGGGAGGGAUGAUCAUAUCCCGCAGGUGCGUCUUCACCACUUCCUGCUUCUCUAUGGUCGGCGCCUCCUUCUUGGCCUAGCAUAGGCGCCUCAGCAGCGAAUGCGGCUUGAGCCUCAGCAUUCCGCCACAGGCCGUGGUUCAGCCGCCGCAGCUGGCGCGCGCCGUACAGCUGCCUCAGCUGCUCAAAGGACAUGUCCAGCAGCUGGCCCAGGUCCACACCGCGGUAGGUGAACUUGCGGAAGAUCCGCUGCUUCUUCUCCUCUACCUCUGCCAUCUUGCCGGAUCCUCUGAAAAUGAUUCCGUAAGUGCCAGAGUCCUUCACAUAUGGAUUUUAACCUAAUUCUGUAAUGAUUUUAAUUAGCUGAUAUAUUAAAAACAACGUCAGUAAGUUUUUCCCUUCAAGGAAGCCUCAACUUUGAGAAACGGUGAAUUACGUGAGGUGAACCUCGUAUUUAUGUGAGGAAAGCUCUGCACUGGUUUUGAUUCUCACAUUUUAAUUAGCUGAUACAUUAAAAACAAUAUAAGUAAUUUUUCCCUUCCGGGAAACCUCAACUUGGAGUAACGCUGGAUUACGUGAGCUAAACCUCGUAAUUAUGUGAGAAAGGCUAAGUAUUGGUUUUGUUUCCCACAUUUACGUGAGGAAAUUGAGGCACAAUGUUAAGUGUCACAAGGUCAAGUAACUAGUAAGGGGCAGGCCAAGAUAGAAAUCUGUUUGCAGAACUCUUGUGCUUAAUGACUAAGAAGCGUGCGCAGAUGCAAGGGCCAGACAGGGAAACAAGAGAUCCAUUUGUACCAAUAGCAUGGAAGAUUGACUUUGUUUCAGGGAAUCGCGUUUUUUCAUAAAAACUUCGGGAUUAACCCACCUCACAUAUUUUCUCCAAAGUUAUAGUUAUGUAUUGGAUUUAAGAAUAGACUGAACCUGGGCUCCCCACUGCACAAGAUAAAAAACUGAUAGAGGCUGGGCACGGUGGCUCACGCCUGUAUUCCCAGCACUUUGGGAGACCAAGGUAGGCGGAUCACCUGAGGUCAGAAGUUUGAGACUAUCCUGGGCAACAUGGUGAAACCCUAACUCUACUAAAAAUACAAAAUCAGCUGGGUGUGGUGGUGGGUACCUGUAAUCCCAGCUACUCGGGAAGUUGAGGCAGGAAAAUCGCUUGAACCUGGAGGCAGAGGUUGCGGUGAGCCAAGAUGGCGCCACUGCACUCCAGCCUGGGUGACAGAGCGAGACCCCGUCACCAAAAAAAAAAAAAAAAAAAAAUUAUCUGUGCAUCUCGGAAGUAGUGAUCCAGAAUGGCAGACCCUAAAUAUGCAACAAGAGAAAGUGACCAUCAGGAAAUCAUCUUUCGGGAAUUUAUCUAAGAAGAACUUCUUAUGGGCAAAUAUCCUAAAAUUCAGAUUGUUAAAAUGACGUGAAGAAAAAAUGAACAGGAAACUGAUGCAGAGGCCACAAAGAAUAUUCAAACACAAAUUUUCCAUUUUCAAAAAAUGACACUGCUCCAGGACCCUGUGGAUAUGAGGCUGGAUAAUUGAUUCUCUACUUCCAACUUACUCAUGUGCAUUUGAUACCUCUAACAAAAGGAGUAAAUUUUUCACAAUUCAAUUGAAGUCUCACUCUGUCACCCAGGCUGGAGUGCAGUGGCGCCAUCGAACUCCUGUGCUUAAGCAAUCUUCCUGCCUUGGCCUCCCAAAGUUCUGAGAUUAUAUGGGGAAUCCCAGUGAUUCAAGAUGCAUUGGAGAGAAAUACAGACUGAAGAUAAUUGGUUACCCAUCUAGAAAGAGGUAUAUGAAGUCUGGGGGUAAGACCUGCAGUAAUUUCCCUUAAGGGGUGAGAUGAAGACAGGUGUUGAAAUGGGAAUUGUGUGCCUUACUGAUCGUGGAGCCUCUCCAGGACUACAGGCUCUUCCUCAGCGGCUGCCAAGCUCCUCUUAGGGAAGCCGGGGAACUUCUGAAUGCCCAAGUAUACCCUGCUGGAGGCACAGGAAUCCUCUUGGAAGCUUUGUCUGGACAUGCUUUAAUACCGUCCAUUUCUACUGUUGCCAUACCAAGCCGCUACUGGUCACCACUGUAAAUCUUUCUGCUGUUUUUUAUAACCACAAAGUAUAGCACAAUUUCUGUCUGCUUUCAUGCACCUAAAACUAUUGUGGUUUUUGCCUUUCCCGGUCUCAUUAGCUAAAACAAAGAGUUGAUAAAGGCACAGGCCCUUUCUCAAGAAACAAAAUGUUGUCUGUCUUCUUUCUGCAGUGAAACAGAAUGUAAAGUCCAGAAAUAAACGUGUAAUUAAAUAAUACUACAGAAUUUCCAAGGACUUGAGGAAUAAUUGCACUCUUGAAAGAGCCUAUGAAAAAAGAAGAGACUUGGGAAAUUUAACAGAAGUUCACUUUCCACCACUGCGCAAACUAAGGAAAAACUUAAAGCAGUAAAUAGCUGCGGUUGGCAAAGCUGUUUUGGCUCAGGAGCAGCUAUCAGGCCUUGAUAAGGUCCACAAGUCUGCUGUUCUAAAAUCAAAAAAAAAAAAAAAAAAAACAACCCUAAAUGUUGAAAGUAUUUUUGU
rnacentral:lncRNA from 1 species